rnacentral:rRNA from 1 species
AUUGAACGCUGGCGGCAUGCCUAACACAUGCAAGUCGAACGGAGGGCUUCGGCCCUCAGUGGCGGACGGGUGAGUAACGCGUAGGGAUCUGCCCCGCAGUGGGGGACAACCUGGGGAAACUCAGGCUAAUACCGCAUACGCUCCAUGGAGGAAAGCGGGGGACCUUCGGGCCUCGCGCUGCGGGAUGAACCUACGUCCGAUUAGCUAGUUGGUGGGGUAACGGCCCACCAAGGCGACGAUCGGUAGCUGGUCUGAGAGGACGGCCAGCCACACUGGGACUGAGACACGGCCCAGACUCCUACGGGAGGCAGCAGUGGGGAAUAUUGGACAAUGGGCGCAAGCCUGAUCCAGCAAUGCCGCGUGGGUGAAGACGGCCUGCGGGUUGUAAAGCCCUUUAGGCGGGGAAGAACGGCCGGGCGCGAAUAGCGCGCGGCUCUGACGUUACCCGCAGAAUAAGCACCGGCUAACUCCGUGC